rnacentral:rRNA from 1 species
AAGCAUAUCACUGAGCGCAGGAGAAGAAACUAACCAGGAUUUCCCUAGUAACGGCGAGCGAACCGGAAAGAGCCCAGCUUGAAAAUCGUGGCGCCCCGGCGCCUCGAAUUGUAGUCUGGAGAAGGUCCCUCUGCGGCGCGCCGGACCCAAGUUCCCUGGAAAGGGACGCCAUCGAGGGUGAGAGCCCCGCUGAUUCCGGAGUGCGCCGCUCCACGAGGACCUGUCUGCGAGUCGGGCUGUUUGGGAAUGCAGCCCUAAGCGGGUGGUAAAUUCCAUCCAAGGCUAAAUAUUGGCAAGAGACCGAUAGCGAACAAGUACCGCGAGGGAAAGAUGAAAAGGACUUUGAAAAGAGAGUUAAAAAGUGCUUGAAAUUGCUGGGAGGGAAGCGAAUGGAAGCUGCGGGUGCGCCCCGGUUGGAUGUGGAACGGCUCCCUCAAAGGGCUGGUCCGCCGCUCAACGCGGGGCGCUGGUCAGCGUGGGCCAUCGCGGCGGGACAAGAGCGGGGAUUCGCUUCCCGCCGAUGCCGCUGCGGUGGCCGAGGAACGAAGCGCGCGCCCCGUCAAACGGGCGUGGGACCCGUCCCAACUGCGCGCUCGGGACGCUGGCGUAUUGAGCUCUUCAUCCGACCCGUCUUGAAACACGGACCAAGGAGUCUAACAUGUAUGCGAGCCGGUGGGCGGCAAACCCAUUGAGGCGCAAGUAACCUGACAGGUGGGACCCCGACCCCGCGAGGGGGAGGGAGCACCAUCGACCGACCGUGAUCUUCUGUGAAGGGUUCGAG